rnacentral:rRNA from 1 species
GGGCCCGCACAAGCAGUGGAUUAUGUGGUUUAAUUCGAAGCAACGCGAAAACCUUACCAGGGCUUGACAUCCAACUAACGAGGCAGAGAUGCGUUAGGUGCCCUUCGGGGAAAGUUGAGACAGGUGGUGCAUGGUUGUCGUCAGCUCGUGUCGUGAGAUGUUGGGUUAAGUCCCGCAACGAGCGCAACCCCUAUUGUUAGUUGCUACGCAAGAGCACUCUAGCGAGACUGCCGUUGAUAAAACGGAGGAAGGUGGGGACGACGUCAAAUCAUCAUGCCCCUUAUGUCCUGGGCUACACACGUAAUACAAUGGCGCUAAACAGAGGGAAGCUAAGCCGCGAGGUAGAGCGAAUCCCCAAAAGGCGUCUCAGUUCGGAUCGCAGUCUGCAACUCGACUGCGUGAAGUCGGAAUUGCUAGUAAUCGCGGAUCAGCAUGCCG